rnacentral:hammerhead_ribozyme from 1 species
AUUGAUGAGUCCCAAAUAGGACGAAACGCGCGUCCUGGAU